AAGAGGAAGAGAGUGCGCGCUAGCCAGCGAAAGCUUCGCGAGCGAAAGGGAGAAAGGAAGGAGUAAAGGAAGACAGAACGUUUACGAACGCGAUAGAGAGAGUGUGCGCAAGGUACGAGGGAGAACGAGUGAGAAAGCCGGAGCGUUGCGUGGGGAGCGAUCGCAGCUCGUCAUUCGAAGCCCGCCAACGGACGAGCGAGCAGCGACGGCACGGGACUGCGAUUGAAAGUACCCACGCGAUCUUCGCGAAAAUAAAGAGUACAGAUACAGGCUUACACCUGAGAUUAAAACAGGCGAGGAAUCACAUCGUGACAGAACAUCUAUUUAAACAGCAGUUACCGACUGUUUUGCGAUAGCAAAUCAAUCGCCGGUGUAACACGCUGGUUCGUACGGUCCACUCGAACGAAGCGCUCGUUUCUCGUUCGGUUCGCUUCGGUUACGAUCGUGUCGGCCGCAGUGCUUACGGUGUUCGUCUCGCGUGUUUUCAUUUCAGAGAGGGAGAGUGACAGCGAAAACAGUGGUGGAAAGAAAACAAAACUGUUGACAGUGAUUAAACGUGACUCCUGCAAAACAUCCUUAAAGGAUAUCUGUGCUGUGUGACAAUUUUCUCGUUCGAAAUAUCAGGAAAAACGAGAAUCCGAUCGUUCACAAGGACGAGUUGCAGAGAAGGAGCAGAGUGUAGUUUAUUCAUUGAAGCACUAGGGUGCGUGUUUCGUAUGUGCGAUUGAAAUCAGUACCGGUACAACAGCAUUACGCGAGACAUUGAUAAUCGAAUUUGUGCUUCGAUCAGUGUUCGUUAUUGCGGUUAAAAAAGUUCAUCGCGACUAUUUUUAUUCGUGGUCGGAUUGUGUUAUAGUGUCGUUUCGUGGUCGAUUUAAAACCGUUACAUUUUUUCGAAGUACAUCGAUAUUUCGAAGUGAAGCUGGUUCAAAUCAAUUGCAAAUCGUUCAUUCUAUGAGCUUGAAUGUAGAAGGAAUAUCAAAGUUACAAACAAUAACAGUACAAUUUGCCUAAAAUAAGUUAUAGAAUCAAAUUCUAGGAAUAUACAAAAAGAAAUAAACAUUCCAAGGAACGGAGACGCCAUUAAUCUAACAGACCUGAGGCUAUUGUAGCCAUUAUCUUGUAACGUACGACAUAUUUGAAAAAUUGAAAUCUUGUUUCGCGCGCAAACGGAAUAUCGUAUUGGUCGCUUUCGGAAAAAGUUGGAUUCUUCAAAUAUCUUUUUGAUCAACUACGAGAAAUAUACCAACGUUUAUUCCAAUAUAUCGAUAAAAGAAAUAAUAAAAUUUCUGGUAUAUGAAAGAAAAUACGUUUGGAAGAAAAUCUAUAUUCAAUUGUGUAUUAUUCCUGUGGAAAACGAUCGAAAGAAACAACUAAGGACUGAUUUGUGAUUGAACUAACCUUUUUUUCACUGUCUUCAUUGUCUGAAAAUUUAAAAGAAUUAUCAUCUUAAGAUAUAUAUUCCGAGUGUCAAUGUUUCGUCACGUUACGUUAAAAUUUUGACACUGAAUUCAACGGUGGCGCAGUAUUGAGGAAACCAAAGUUGCAUUUAGCAACUGAAAUUCAACUCCAAUGUUCUUCGUGUGCUGUCUAAUUCGGCGUCGUGUUUCGUGACAUUAUAGUCGCGUGUGUGCUACAUAGGUGCUCGUGGACGAAUGAUUUAUCGUACAAUCACGUGAAAAAAUAUAUUCGUGUGUGCAAAGAAAGCUUUUUUCCCAGUUGGAUUACAACGAAGCAACGACAUUGUGUUCUCUUCGUAGGAGUGGAAGGAUUUGCCGCGACCCCGUGAAUUCCGAAUUCGUCGUGUCGAUCGAGACAACAGACAGCGCGUGGCCAAUUACUCGCAUCGUUACAAGCAUCAAUUGAUUAAUUAACACCUUAAUUAAUUCGUUCGAUCGGUUUUAACUUUUCGACACCGUUGCUGCUCUCGUGUCUACACUUUUUUAACGUUUUUGUCCGUUUUCACGAAUUUAUCAAGAUCGUAUCGCGAUCGUAAUUGAUAGUAAUCGGAAUUUCUCUCAUUUUACACGCCAACGCCGGAAAAUUGAUUACACGCGAUUCAACGUUCGCGGCGAUUAAUUCCAGUUUUGAUUGUCAACGUUUUCUCGAGUUCGAUUUUCAUCGUAUAGGCAGGAUCUAUUCUACAUAGAUCCUUUGUCCGAUUAAACCGGGAUUACGUGCUAGUUCGUGGAGGCAAUCGGUCUGUAAUUGUGCCACGCGUACGGUUAAUCGCUUGUCUACGCGAAGAACAAUAAACGGUGGUGUUUACGUGACGAAAGUGCAGACGCAGCCCACUCGGUCACUUGCAAAAAGUGACCCAUAGUUUUCUCCUGGAAGUGGUACACAAACGGCCUCAAGAUUCAGCUGGACAUCAUGCCUUGGUUCAUCCUAUUUCUUCUUCUGUUAGCUGUGAUGGAGGCCUUCCCUCGGGAGGCCACCUGUUCCCGCCUGCCGGACAUCUACUGGAACUCCACCAAUCCAAUGUGAGUAAGCAGCACCGAUUAUCACUUUUUCUUCCCGACAACGAGUAAUUAAGUCCGUGUACCAGUUUACCUCCGUCCUCGUCGCGUCCUUUAGCACGUAAGUAGCGCAGCACCAUCCUUAUUAACGCCGUCAUUAAAGAGCGGAGGGGCAUUAAGGCGUCGACAAAAUGGUGAGGCGUAUCAAUAAUGAACCCGCUUUUCGGGUUGAGAGACUUUGAACGAGGAAAAAUGAUCUUCGUUAAGUGACGAUCUCUGCUCUUUUUUCGCUGGAAAAAAAAAAUCUUCGUCGUAAAUUAAUUGAAAUUACCCGGGACAAGAACAAUAAACACUGUAUCCUAAUUUUUUAAAGGCUGUAAAA